ACGGGCCGGGGGCGUGGUGGCGGAUAUGCGUGAAGGUGCACAAAAUGCUGGUGGCAAAGGUGUGCAGCACAAGCCCUCCGGGACAUAAAAGGACAGAGAAAGUGAUGCCACGUGGAGAGCUGGGGUCUGGGAGUGGAGUCCUCCAGUCGGAGCAUGCCCACCUAAUAUGCCUCCCCAAGGACAGCUUUACCAGCCACCAGAGAGGAAGACAGUCCCGUCAACUCUACAGGCACAGGGGAAUUUGCAGGAUGCCAUGGAAGAGCUGUGGCUGUCAUCCUGUGACUUGAGCUGAGAGACUGGUCCAAGGCCCGGGGAUAUUCACUGGGACUCACCUCCGAUGCCUUCAGGACAAGCUGAUGUGCGAUACGAUGCCCCAGGAACCUCCUUGGGAGCCAAAUGGAGAGCAUAGCAUGGAAAAGGGCUUCCCUGAGAUCUCAGUUGGUAAAGAAUCUGCCUGCAAUGCAGGAGACCUCGGUUUGAUUCCUGGGUCAGGAAGAUCUGCUGGAAAAGGGAUAGGCUACCGACUCCAGUAUUCUUGGGCUUCCCUGGUGGCUCAGCUGGUAAAGAAUCCGCCUGCAAUGUGGGAGACCUGGGAUCGAUCCCUGGGUUGGGAAGAUCCCCGAGAGAAGGGAAGAGCUACCCACUCCAGUAUUCUGGCCUGGAGAAUUCCAUGAACUGUACAGUCCAUGGGGUUGCAAAGAGUCAGACACAACUGAGAGACUUCACGUCACUUCACAGCCUGCAAAAGGAGUUCAGGCUUAGAGGCCAGUGUCCUUAACCACCCCUCCCUCCUGCUAGCUAGAGAUUCAGAACAAACUGCUCAAGCCUUCCGUGUCCUCAUUUGCUCAUCUGGAGAAGGGGUUAACAUACUACUGACUUCCUAGGGCCACCGCGAGGCUGGGAUUGGUGAGUCCAAACCUGUAGCGGACACUCCCAGCCCUUACUGAAAAUUAUGUCAUCUGGCUUCUGACAGUGAUGCCCUGGGGACAAAACAGGGCCACUCCUCUCUUUGAGGGACCUGCCAGCAUUCCAUGAGGAUGGGUGGUGUCUUCAAUGUGAGUUUGCAGGCCAGUCUUUAGCUGGCCCUCUGGGAGUCUUGAGUCGGAAGCCAGAGGUGAGGCAUCCCUUCUGGGAGCAUGCGCUCUGCCAGGAGCCUGGCAGUACAACCACAGUGCCAGGGUUGGGGGGUAGCCUCCCUCAGCCAGUGGUUUGCUGAAGCCCCACUGUCUGUGGCAGAGGGAUGGAAGCCCCUGCUUGCAGAUGAUGGGGACCAGUCUUCUGCUCACUCAGACCCAUGCUGGGAUGGACCCAGUUCUUUUACAGCCUUGUCCUUCCUUCUCACCGUUGCAGGUGACUGUUCAAGAGCACUGGUUUUAGGUGGAUUCUUGGUUCUUAUUUGUGCUUUACCCAUGGAUCUCGCUUGCUCACCUGUGGGCCACCUAUGCAUUUAAAUAAUAUAAUACUCUCUUCUCAGUACACGUUUCCUCGUCUUUUCCACAACUGAGCUGGC